rnacentral:SRP_RNA from 1 species
CCGUGCUAGGCGGAGGGUUAGCGGUCCUCUAUACCUGCAACCCGCUAUAGCAGGGCGGAAUCCCCCUCGUGAGGCCGGACGGGUCCGCACGGGAGCGGCCCACCGGGCGUUGAGGGUCGGAUCCCAUGCGAUGGGCGGCCGGCGAACCGGGUCAGGGCCGGAAGGCAGCAGCCCUAAGCCGGAAGGCCCAUGCGCCGUGGGGCCAUCUGGCCGGAGCCGCGGAGGCCGUCACCCGACGGGUCCGCACGGCCGACCAGGGGUGCACGG